CUGCCCUAACUUCUCCAAUCGGCGCCGAUUCUCCCCUUAUCUCCCUCACACGCACGCUCACUCUCUCUGCCGCCGACCGACGAGAGACAAGGGAAAGCCUCGCCUCCGCCUGACUCUUCUUCUCUUCCGACAGUCGCUCUUGCGGAGCGAUCUCACGAGCCACCGUUGGCCGAGUCGGCCAUUGCCGAUCUCUCCCCUGCGCUUGAUCCGCCGGCAUCCGAGCCCCUUCCUUCGAUCACCGAGAAGAGCCCCUUCCUCUCUUCUUCCGAGCACCGAUUAGCCGACCGAAUUCUUCUGCUCUAGAUCUAUUCUGUGUGGUCUUCACUGUGCCCAGCCGAUGCUGCCAUCUCUUGACCCGAACAACGCCGACCUCCUCCACGCUGUGUACUAGUUCCAGAUGCGGAGUCUGUUCUUCCACUGAUCUGGAACAAAGAUUGGGGUUUUUAGUUUACUGAGGUGGAUCUUGUUUCAGUUGAGGGUCUUUUAAGGAGAAGGUGUUAAGUAAGGGGGAUUCCAGUCAAGUGUUGUGCACUGUGGGAAAAAUUUCAGCAAAGAGCAGCAACUAUCUCUUGGCGUGGAUCAGUGAGUACGAGGGUAGUCUUGUGCUGUGGAUUUUCGUGGAUCUGGCAGUCAUUGACUUCAGCAAAUUCCAGCAACUUCAUGUUCUUGAACAAGGCUGUAAAUUGAGGACGGUGAUUCGAGACGGGCGUCUCGACAUUUGGAUUGGUUUGAUUCGAUCUACAUUGG